rnacentral:rRNA from 1 species
UGGGGAAUAUUGCACAAUGGGCGCAAGCCUGAUGCAGCAACGCCGCGUGAGGGAUGACGGCCUUCGGGUUGUAAACCUCUUUUAGCAGGGAAGAAGCGAAAGUGACGGUACCUGCAGAAAAAGCACCGGCUAACUACGUGCCAGCAGCCGCGGUAAUACGUAGGGUGCAAGCGUUGUCCGGAAUUAUUGGGCGUAAAGAGCUCGUAGGCGGUCUGUCGCGUCUGCCGUGAAAUCCCGAGGCUCAACCUCGGGCCUGCAGUGGGUACGGGCAGACUAGAGUGCGGUAGGGGAAAAUGGAACUCCUGGUGUAGCGGUGGAAUGCGCAGAUAUCAGGAAGAACACCGAUGGCGAAGGCAGUUCUCUGGGCCGUAACUGACGCUGAGGAGCGAAAGCGUGGGGAGCGAACAGGAUUAGAUACCCUGGUAGUCCACGCCGUAAACGUUGGGCGCUAGAUGUGGGGACCAUUCCACGGUUUCCGUGUCGCAGCUAACGCAUUAAGCGCCCCGCCUGGGGAGUACGGCCGCAAGGCUAAAAC